rnacentral:rRNA from 1 species
UACGUAGGGUCCGAGCGUUGUCCGGAAUUACUGGGCGUAAAGAGCUCGUAGGUGGUUUGUCGCGUCGUUUGUGAAAACCAGCAGCUCAACUGCUGGCUUGCAGGCGAUACGGGCAGACUUGAGUACUGCAGGGGAGACUGGAAUUCCUGGUGUAGCGGUGAAAUGCGCAGAUAUCAGGAGGAACACCGGUGGCGAAGGCGGGUCUCUGGGCAGUAACUGACGCUGAGGAACGAAAGCGUGGGUAGCGAACAGGG